AGUUUGAUUAUGGCUCAGAUUGAACGCUGGCGGGAUGCUUUACACAUGCAAGUCGAACGGCAGCACGGACUUCGGUCUGGUGGCGAGUGGCGGGCAGGUGAGUAAUGUAUCGGAACGUGCCCUAAGUGGCGGGAUAAACGCGUGUGCUUGUACCCGCAUACGCCCUUCGGGGGAAAGCGGGGGACCUUCGGGCCACGUCUGCUGUGGAAGCGACCGUCUGGGUCGCCGUUGGUGGGGUAACGGCUCACCAAGGCGAUCGUAAGCUAGGUUUGAGAGGACGACCAGCCACACUGGAGUGAGACACGGCCCAGACUCCUACCGGGAGGCAGCAGUGGGGGCACGAAUGAAGCCCCCUGGAUCAGCCAUCCCGCGUGUGCGAUGAAGGCCUUCAGUUUAUCUUUUGGCGGGGAAAGAAACGGCACGGGAUAAUACCCGAUGCAACUGACGGUACCUGCAGAAUAAGCACCGGCUAACUACGUGCCAGCAGCCGCGGUAAUACGCGUAAGGGUGCAAGCGUUAAUCCAGGUGCAAUGGCGUGCGGUUCGGAAAGAAAGAUCUUGAAAUCCCAGAGCUUAACUUUGGAACUGCAUUUUUAACUACCGAGCUAGAGUGUGCCAGAGGGAGGUGGAAUUCCGCGUGUAGCAGUGAAGUAAGUAAGUCUGCGGAGGAACACCGAUGGCAGAGGAAGCAGCUCAAGAUGCUCAAUGCCUCACCAAAGCCAUAUGGAGCUAACCGGGAUUGAUACCUGUUAGUCCACGCCCUAAACGAUGUCAGCAACUAGCUGUUGGGGCCUUCGGGCCUUGGCGUGGCGCAAAUAACGCGUGAGAUUGACCGCCUGGGGAGUACGGUCGCAAGAUUAAAACUCAAAGGAAUUGACGGGGACCCGCACAAGCGGUGGAUGAUGUGCUUGGAUUAAUUCGAUGCAACGCGAAAAACCUUACCUACCCUUGACAUGUCUGGAAUCCCGAAGAAGAUUUGGGAGUGCUCGCAAGAGAACCGGAACACAGGUGCUGCAUGGCUGUCGUCAGCUCGUGUCGUGAGAUGUUGGGUUAAGUCCCACAACAGGCACCUUCAUAUCCAUUAGUUGCUACGAAAGGGCACUCUAAUGAGACUGCCGGUGACAAACCGGAGGAAGGUGGGGGAUGACGUCAAGUCCUCAUGGCCCUUAUGGGUAGGGCUUCACACGUCAUACAAUGGUCGGGACAGAGGGUCGCCAACCGCGAAGGGGAGCCAAUCAGAAACCCGAUCGUAGUCCGGAUCGCAGUCUGCAACUCGACUGCGUGAAGUCGGAAUCGCUAGUAAUCGCGGAUCAGCAUGUCACUUUGGUGAAUGCAUUCCGGUGUUGCCGUCACUAACUGGAGUGGGUUUUACCAGAAGUAGUUAGCCUAACCGUAAGGAGGGCGAUUACCACGGUAGGAUUCAUGACUGGGGUGAAGUCGUAACAAGGUAGAGCAAUG
rnacentral:rRNA from 1 species